CCUACGGGCGGCUGCAGUGGGGAAUAUCGCACAAUGGGCGCAAGCCUGAUGCAGCCAUGCCGCGUGUGUGAAGAAGGCCUUCGGGUUGUAAAGCACUUUCAGCGGGGAGGAAGGCGGUGAGGUUAAUAACCUCAUCGAUUGACGUUACCCGCAGAAGAAGCACCGGCUAACUCCGUGCCAGCAGCCGCGGUAAUACGGAGGGUGCAAGCGUUAAUCGGAAUUACUGGGCGUAAAGCGCACGCAGGCGGUCUGUCAAGUCGGAUGUGAAAUCCCCGGGCUCAACCUGGGAACUGCAUUCGAAACUGGCAGGCUAGAGUCUUGUAGAGGGGGGUAGAAUUCCAGGUGUAGCGGUGAAAUGCGUAGAGAUCUGGAGGAAUACCGGUGGCGAAGGCGGCCCCCUGGACAAAGACUGACGCUCAGGUGCGAAAGCGUGGGGAGCAAACAGGAUUAGAUACCCUAGUAGUC
rnacentral:rRNA from 1 species